UGGUACGGCGGUCAUAGCGGGGGGGCCACACCCGAACCCAUCCCGAACUCGGAAGUUAAGCCCCCCAGCGAUGCCCCGAGUACUGCCAUCUGGCGGGAAAGGGGCGACGCCGCCGGCCAC
rnacentral:rRNA from 15 species